rnacentral:misc_RNA from 1 species
CCGGGUUUACAACUCCCAAACCCCUGUGAACAUACCACUUGUUGCCUCGGCGGAUCAGCCCGCUCCCGGUAAAACGGGACGGCCCGCCAGGGGACCCCUAAACUCUGUUUCUAUAUGUAACUUCUGAGUAAAACCAUAAAUAAAUCA